ensembl:lncRNA
CCCCCCCCCCCCCCCCCCCCCCCCCCCCCCCCCCCCCCCCCCCCCCCCCCCCCCCCCCCCCCCCCCCCCCCCCCCCCCCCCCCCCCCCCCCCCCCCCCCCCCCCCCCCCCCCCCCCCCCCCCCCCCCCCCCCCCCCCCCCCCCCCCCCCUCCACCCCCAUUUCUGCCUUCACGCUCCAACCGUGGCGGAUUUGGGGUUAUUGACUGAAGUCUGUUGGGGGGGGGGGGGGUGGUUAUUUUUUGCUCCCCCACCCCCAAAAAUGCCACUUUUCCACCCAAAUCUCCCAUUGCUCACCAUGGGGACGGGGGUGGGGGGCAGAGCCCUUUUAUUCUGCCCCUUUUUGGGCCUUUUUCCACCCAAAACCGCCACCAUCUCCCAUUGCUCACCAUGGGGAGGGUGGGGUGGAAGGAGGGGGGGGGACAGAGCCCUUUUAUUCUUCCCCUUUUCGGGCCUUUUUUCACCCAAAACCACCGCCAUCUCCCAUGGCUCACCAUGGGGAGGGUGGGGUGGAGGGGGGGGGGACAGAGCCCUUUUAUUUUGCCCCUUUUCAGGCCUUUUUCCACCCAAAACCACCGCCAUCUCCCAUUGCUCACCAUGGGGAGGGUGGGGUGGAAGGAGGGGGGGGGACAGAGCCCUUUUAUUCUUCCCCUUUUCGGGCCUUUUUUCACCCAAAACCACCGCCAUCUCCCAUGGCUCACCAUGGGGAGGGUGGGGUGGAGGGGGGGGGGACAGAGCCCUUUUAUUUUGCCCCUUUUCAGGCCUUUUUCCACCCAAAACCACCGCCAUCUCCCAUUGCUCACCAUGGGGAGGGUGGGGAGGGUGAGGGGGGGCAGAGCCCUUUUAUUUUGCCCCUUUUCGGGCCUUUUUCCACCCAAAACGCGGCCCCUGUUGCGGAGAGAAGUGGGGUUACAGCACACAAAUACACUCUUUCCCUGCGUUGGCCGCUACGUUCCCUUUUUGGGUUCAAACGCUCAACUCUUGCCACUUACCACCAAAUUUAUUGAAGCCACCACGCUCACCACCGCUGAGGAGAUAAAUUAGAAGAUAUGAAGCUUUUUUUUUUGGGUUUUUUUUGUUUUUUUUUUUGGUUUUUCGUUCAUUUUAUGCUUUUGAAGGGGGGGGGGGGCAGUUUUAUAAUCCCUGAAUUGCUUUAUUUUGUUGUUAUUUUUUUUGGGGGGGGGUAAAACCGGCGUUUUUCCUCCAUCCUGAAGCCCCUCUGUGCUUUGUUUUGGGGGGGGGGGGGGGGGGGGGGGGGGGGCGGUUUUGGGGUAUUUUGGGGGGGGUUUUGGGGGUCUCCAUCCGUCGUUGACGCUCCUCUCGCACGCAGCGCUGCCCAAUGGGGGGGUGGGGUGGGAUUGGGUGGGAUUUUGGGGGGGGGGGGGGUCAGAAAAUGGCUAAAAACGCCGAUUGGAGCUCUUUGCGGCCGUUCUGAAGGAUCCCUGCGGGGCACCUUUGGGCCCGGCGUACAAAAAGGCUUUGGCCCCCUUUUUUUGGGGUCGUUUUCCCUGCUUUCCGCACACCCCACACGGUUGUGGGUCGUUCCCCCCCCCCCAAAAUGAAUCCUAAAGUUGGGGAAAAAAAAAACCAAAAACCACAAAAAUGCCCAAAUCAAACGGCCGUUUGACCCUAAAAAAAUGAACCCCGGGCAAUGUGGCCCUUUGGGGGGCGUUUUUCUAUGGGGUUUUUUCCCUGCUUUCUGCAGACCCCCCCCCUGUAGGACCGCCCCCCCCCCCCCAUCUCAUUUUACUGUAUCCAAAAGUUGGGAAAAACCCAAAUCUGCCUUUUUUUGGGGGGGGCCGCUCCAAAAAUGGCUCUUUGGCACUUUCUGACCUCAAAAAUAAAAGCCCUGUGGCCCUUUUUUGGGGGCCUUUUUGGGGCCGUUUUUGGCCCUUUUGGGGUCUUUUUCGGCCUUUCUUGGCCCUUUUGGUGCCUUUUGGGGGUAAUUUUGGCCCUUUUGGAGUCUUUUUUGGUCUUUCAGGGGCCUUUUCUGGUCUUUCUGGGGUCUUUUUUGGCUCUUUUAGAGCCCUUUUUGGCCUUUCUGGGGAUUUUUUUGGGCCCUUUUAGAGCCUUUUUUGGCCUUUCUGGGGCCUUUUCUGGCUGUUUUGGGGCCCUUUUUGGCCUUUUGGGGCUUUUUUUGGCCCUUUUGGGGCCUUUUUUGGCCUUCCUGAGGUCUUUUUUGGCCUUUGUGGGGUCUUUCUUGGCCAUUUUGGGACUUCUUUUGGCCAUUUUGGGGCCUUUUCUGGCCUUUCUGGGGCCCUUUUUGGCCUCGCCGGCUGCUUGCAGCAGAGCCCCCACAGGACGCUCCCCCCUCCCUUUCUCCUCUCUCUCUUCAUUGCUUUUUUUCCCCUCUUUUUCCUUAUUAUUAUUAUUUGGUCUAUUUUCUCCUUUUUUUUUUUUUUUUUUCUCCAUUUGUUUUUUCCUUUUAUUUUUUUUUUUUAUUUUUUUCCCCCUUUCUGCCUUUUUUUUGAACCCAAAAGCUGCGGAUAAAGGCGGAGCAUUGCAAAGUGUCGCUGCCUUUCACACCUGCAGCACACAAAACCAGAGUUUGUUAACAGGCACAAAUAAGCAACCGCCGCUCGCCCCAUACUCACCUCCGCGCCCCAAAAUCGGCCUUUUUCGGCCCAAAACCACGCGGCAGCGACACAAACCCCCAACCUUUUGGCCAUUGGUGCUGCGUGCACCGACCCACGUGCGGCUGCGGCACCGUUGUUUGCCUCUGCAGUGAGCACGCAAUGCGCCGUCGGCCCCUUUUUGCCCCUCACUUUGCUCUCAUUUUGCAGUCUUUCGCUGCUUUUUCGCCCCUUUUUCUUUUAUUCUUUUCCGUCUUUUCCCUCUUUUUUUUUUUUCUCAUCUUUAUUCCAGGUUUUAAUGCCAUUUUUUUCUCCUCUCGAUUCCAUUUUCCCCUCGUUUUUUCUCACCUUGAUUCCAUUCUCCUCAUUUUUACUCCAUUUUUCCUCCAUUUUUCUCUCACAUUCCCUUUUUCCUCAUUUUUUAUUCCGUUUUUACUCCGUUUUUUCCCAUCUUUAUUCCGUUCUCUUUCAUAAUUCCAUUUCUCCCCUCGAUUUCUUCUCACCUUUGUUCCAUUUUGCCCCAUUUUCUGUCAUUUAUUCCAUCUUUCCCUCAUUUUCCUCAGCUUUAUUCCAUCCACGUUUCUGAUCCCAUUUCCCCCACCUUUAUCCCACUGCUCCCAUUCCUCUCUCCCUAUUCUUCCUUUUCUCCCCGAAUUCCCCCCCAUUUUCCCCUCCUUUUUCUCUCCUCUUCCCAACCUUCCCCAUUUUCUCCCACCUUUCCAUCCCAUUUCUACCCUCCGCUCAUUUUCUCACACUUCCAUUGCAUUUCCUCACUCUUCCCUCAUUCCUUUUCCUUUUCUCCCUCUCCGUUUCCUCUUCCCUACCUCUCUCCCCCUCCCUUUUCUCUUUCCUUCCCCUCUCCCUUUUUCCCUUCCUCUUUCCCCCUCCUUUUCCUUCCUUUCUCCCUCUCCAUUUCCCCUUUCCCUUCCCCUCCCUCGCCUCUUCCUUCCUCUUUCUCCCUCUCCAUUUCCUCUUUCCCCUCCUUUUCCUCUUUCUUUCUCCCUAUUUCCCCUUCCCUUCCUCUCCCUAUUUUCCUUCCUCCUUCCUCUUUCCCUCUCAGUUUCCUCUUCCCUUCCUCUUCCCCUUUUUUUCUUUCCUUCCUCUCCCCCUCCUUUUCCCUUCCUCUGUUUCCCUUCCUCUUUCCCCCUCCUCUUUUCCUUCCUUUCUCCCUCUCCAUUUCCCCUUUCCCUUCCCCUCCCUCGCCUCUUCCUUCCUCUUUCUCCCUCUCCAUUUCCUCUUUCCCCUCCUUUUCCUCUUCCUUUCUCCCCAUUUCCCCUUCCCUUCCUCUCCCUAUUUUCCUUCUUCCUUCCUCUUUCCCUCUCAGUUUCCUCUUCCCUUCCUCUCCCCCUCCUCCUUUUUCUUUCCUUCCUUUCCCCCUCCUUUUCCCUUCCUCUUUCCCCUUCCUUUUCCUUCCUUUCUCCCUCUCCAUUUCCCCUUUCCCUUCCCCUCCCUCGCCUCUUCCUUCCUCUUUCUCCCUCUCCACUUCCUCUUUCCCCUCCUUUUCCUCUUCCUUUCUCCCUAUUUCCCCUUCCAUUCCUCUCCCUAUUUUCCUUUUCCCUUCCUCUUUCCUUCUGUUUCCUCUUUCCUCCUUCCACUUCCCCUUCCCCUCUUCCUUCUCCAUUUCCUCUUCCCUUCCUUCUCUCCUUUUCGUCUUUCCCUUUCUCCCCCUCCAUUUCCUCUUCCUUUUUCCUCUUUCCUUCCUCUUUCCCUCUGCUUUAUCUCUACUUCCUCUUUCCCCAUCCUUCUUUUCCUCUUCCCCUCUCCUUAUCCUCUUUCCCUCCCCAUUUCCUCUCCAUUUCCUUUCCUUCCUCUCUGUUCCUCUCCACUUCUCUUUUCCUUUCCUUCUCCCCCAUUCCCCCCAGUUCUCAUUUCCUGACCUUUCACACCCCCUCAUUUCCCCCUCACAUUCCCUAUUUCCUCACUUCCUC